ensembl:snoRNA SNORA62 Small nucleolar RNA SNORA62/SNORA6 family
GCAGCACACAAUUAAAGCCUGACACGGUCUGAUGUCUGUGUUCAGGUGUCGGAAGUGUGCCAGAAUGAUCCGGACGGGUUUUCGCUAACAUCAGUAGGGCUGCUGCCCCAUGACUGGAGUUUGAUAGUGACCUGAGCCACAACC